rnacentral:rRNA from 1 species
UGGGGAAUUUUGCACAAUGGGGGAAACCCUGAUGCAGCGACGCCGCGUGAUUUAGAAGGCCUUCGGGUUGUAAAAAUCUUUUCUAUGGGAAGAAAAUGACAGUACCAUAGGAAUAAGGACCGGCUAAUUACGUGCCAGCAGCCGCGGUAAUACGUAAGGUCCGAGCGUUGUCCGGAAUCAUUGGGCGUAAAGGGUACGUAGGCGGGUAAGCAAGUUAGAAGUGAAAUCCUAUAGCUCAACUAUAGUAAGCUUUUAAAACUGCUCAUCUUGAGGUAUGGAAGGGAAAGUGGAAUUCCUAGUGUAUCGGUGAAAUGCGCAGAUAUUAGGAGGAAUACCGGUGGCGAAGGCGACUUUCUGGCCAUAACCUGACGCUGAGGUACGAAAGCGUGGGUAGCAAACAGG